UACGUAGGGUGCAAGCGUUGUCCGGAAUUAUUGGGCGUAAAGAGCUCGUAGGCGGUUUGUCGCGUCUGCUGUGAAAACUCAGGGCUUAACUCUGAGCUUGCAGUGGGUACGGGCAGACUAGAGUGCGGUAGGGGAGACUGGAAUUCCUGGUGUAGCGGUGAAAUGCGCAGAUAUCAGGAGGAACACCGGUGGCGAAGGCGGGUCUCUGGGCCGACACUGACGCUGAUGCGCGAAAGCCAGGGGAGCGAACGGG
rnacentral:rRNA from 1 species